ensembl:lncRNA
GUUGGAAACAGACCAGAGGUUAACUAGGAAUUUCACCCUCCACAUUAAGAGCUACAACUUUAGGAGCCUGUGGUUUACUCCUUUUCAUAAGCUAAGCAGAGCCAGGCAACCUUUCAGAGAGGGGUGACAGAUUAUUCACAAUUAAAACACUGGACUGUUUCCAUUUGCUUUACGAACUAUAGGAAAGCUCUCCAUAUGGAUUGGUUUUCCAUGGCAGUUUUGCAGUGCUCCCUCAUCAGUGUGCAUAGAGCAGAUAUUUUCUUCAGAAGACAUGCUGGCAUGAAUUUCUGGCCCAUUAUAAUUCCAUAAGCUAUAUCUAGAAGCCUUUGAGAGUUGUUAGCAGCCCGUUAUAUCAGUCUCAUAUCUCACCCUUAUCACUUAUUACUUCCUUCAGAAUAGAGGCUUGAUUUUGGACUUAUUUCAGAACAAUCCUGUUCCCCCAGUGCAGGAAACAUCUCAGGACAGACACCUUAGAGCUAUCCUUCUAGUUUAUAGCCCUCUGCCACUUUAAUCUUUGGCUCCACCAUGACUUUGUGCAAAUAUCCAUCAGUGUGCUUCUGCAGCUACACAAACUGCUCCAUCUAUUCCAUGAAGUUGUUUGCCAUAUGUUUCACAGUGACGCCAAGCACUGGGUCAGUGUGACCAAUCGUACAGUUGGAUUCACCAACUCAGCAAACUGUAUGGCAACAGUUAUUUAACAAUAAAUGACAGUGCCUAAUCUAAAUCUGUGGAGAGGACAGCAGGAGAAACUCCUAAGAAAAAGGAAGGCUGAAAACCUUGUUCAUCUAUCAGUGACCAGGAAGCCAAGUGUAAAGCAAUUACUCCUCCUGCAGCAGAUCCAGUCCAUGUCUCAGCCACUGCCAGCAGAAGGACACAGAGGUGGGUGGCCCAGGCCAAGAGAGCAGCCCUUGGAAAAGCUUCCAUCUCAAGCUCUGCCACAGAGCUCCUCUCUCCUGCUCUCAUCUCCAGCUCUUCUCCCUCAGAUUCAGAAGUAAAAAAGCGCUCCAUGUGUUUCAUUUGCAGGGUUCAAGACAGCUUAGUAUUAGCUUAGCUCUGGCUCCUAUUCACAACAGGAACCAUGCUGAACUUCAAGCCCAGAUUCAGUCUCAAGCUUCAUUUCAGAAAUGUUUGGAGUUUGAUUUAGACCUGAAUCUAAUUUGUAACCUCUGUUCGCUUCAUAAGAAAUGUUUGCAUGUCCCUACAGCCUUGAGGCAGCCCACUCCUUCCUGGUGCCUACUGGGAAAUCAAACUCAGACCCAGCCCUUGACAGAGCUUGGGGGAUAACAAAUGGGCUGCUUAUAUGAAACACAAAAAGGAGAAGGAUUUGGAUUCAUGGAAGUCAACAGGCAGAGCAGAGCGUACGUCAGGAGGAUGUCGGUAACGGGAAGAGUUGUCACUGAGCCCCAAAUCGAGAGAGAAAGACUGUUGAAAUAGGUAAUGGAGAGAGCAGCACCUGAUAGCCACUGCAGGGAACUUAUGGAGCCAGCCACAAAGAAGAGGAGGCUCUGGUUAUAUUUUCUUGCAAGAGAUCUGACUUAGACCCAGUGGGACAAGAAGCCAAUUCCACAGGAGAUCUGUGCUUGGGGGCCAAGGCAGAGCUCAUCCUGUGCUCCGAGACAGAUUUAUCCAGAAGCACAAAUUUACACCCAGAUUUGCUACAGCUUUCUUGUUGAUACAAGCCUGAAAGCUCCUUGGACAGCAUAGCAGAGUGGGACCCUUGUCUUUUACUGGGCACCACAGGAUGGUGACAUUAGUGACAAGUCACACUGCUGCCCAUGAUGCUGAUAGCAAGCAACACUGACAGUUCCUGCUUUCUGUGGGGCAGAACAGUUGUUCAUGCCUCCCAGCUUCCAUGGACCACCUCACCCCUGACACCAGACUGCCCUGAUAAGGGGAGCACCCUCACAGAGACUCCUUGAAAUUUGCCUGCAGCUUUUGCAUGCAUCUCUUUCCUCCCACGCUCUUUCCCAGUGAGCACCAGUUUGAAAGCUACUGCCAGCAGCACCUCCCAGAACAUUUAUUUGCUAGUGCACGAACGAGCAUCAGCCAACCACCUGAACUGCCUGGUAAAAAAAAAACAAACUAUGGCUUAUUUUCACCUGCUCCUCCUGCAACCAGAACAAAAUGGGAAAGCAAUUGCUCUGAAAGAUGCAGGCAGUGAGAACAGAUGCUGAGCUGGAAGUGCUAACUCCUCUGUCAAGUUAAUUGUCAGCCUCUUGCAGGUUGGUGCAGCUCAGUUUUGAAAGCUUGUAUAGAAAUCCAAUUAUGUGUUGGCUGAGGAAUUUUUAUUGAUAAAUAACUUACCAGAGCAACACAAGGGAGGGCGGUGAAUGGGUGUUACUCCUACAGAAAAAGGCAAAAAAAGUCUUAAAGUUGUGAUGGAUUUUUAGUCUCUCGAAACUACUCCCAUGUGAGUUUCACUAGUAAACCCUGCCCUGGCAAGCAGCCAUCAGGAAUAAAAGCUGACCUGAGAACA